ensembl:lncRNA
CUUGAGUCUUGUCAUUUCUUGGUUGCACUGAAAAUACCGCCCAGCCUGAUGGUUCCCCGGCGCUGCUCCGUCCUCUCCGGCUUCUCCCCCUCAGCUCCCCUCCUCCGCCCGCCCCGCCUUCCCCUCUCUCACACACGAUUCCGCGUGAGUUUUGGAAGCCCCGGGCCCCGCUCCGCCUUCUCCGGUGAGAGGCCGCCAUCCGCCAAGCCUGCCGGUUUUCAGAGCUUCCGUGGGAGCCUGGGUGCUCGGGUGUGGCGGUGACGGAGGUGGGGAUCAAGCCUUCCUAGUUAGUUCUAUUAUAGUUAACAGUCGAUUGCACACUUUUUUAAAAAAAGUAAAUGGAUUUGCCACAAUUAAAUGUCAUAACAUUUAUGACAAUAUAAAAUAUUAACAUAUUUUAAGCCAAGUUUUAGGUGUAUUUUUUGAAUCUUGGUUAUAGACCCAAUUUUAAAGGGCGUUGUAUCCAGCGUUGUGAAGGCAACUGUACCCAUAUUUAUAUUUUUAUAAAAUGCCUAUAAGACUGUGAAUCUCUUGUGCUACUUGCCGAGUGAGCUGAAGGGCCGCUUUACCCCUCUUCAGCCUCCCAGAGCUUCCAGGACCCGAUUCGAAUCCGAAAGCCCUGCCAGGCGGGAGGGGCCGCGCGAGGACCCAGGCCGGAGGCCGUCCCUCUGCGUCACUCUUAGUCCCGAAAGGCGCCCUUCCUGGUCUCCGAGGUUCCAAUUUUCUAUGCAACCCCACACCCCGUGUUGUUUUGAUCCUGAGAAAUAAAAGGGAGGCUGAAUUAUUCAAAUUUAAAUGAGGCUUCCCCAGGGUAGAAGUGCUGCUGACCCUUCGUGCAAAAAUGGGGAGCACUUGAGGACACAGGUGGGUGGAGGCCCUUUGUGUGUGGCUGGUCAGAUUUGGGCAGUCAUCUGUGGCUUUUUAUAAAACCUUGUGUGAGAAGAAUAUAUUGAUAAUGUCAGUGAAAAGCAGACAUUGAAACUGAGGCACAGAUUACUCCAAAAGGAGUUUUUCUGUAUAUUUUUUCUAGAUGCAAAUACCUUAAUUAUGUUAAUUAAUGUUAAGACUUUCUAGGCUUACGUGGAAGCUGUGUAUGGGUCUCGGUGUGAUCACUUCUAACUGGAUGAAGUCUGCAGCACAUUCCUGAGUGUACGAUAUAGACUUGUAGCCC